rnacentral:rRNA from 1 species
UGCCUACGGGGCGCAGCAGUGAGGAAUAUUGGUCAAUGGGCGAGAGCCUGAACCAGCCAAGUCGCGUGAAGGAUGACGGCCCUACGGGUUGUAAACUUCUUUUGUCAGGGAGCAAUUGGGUCCACGCGUGGGCUUAGCGAGAGUACCUGAAGAAAAAGCAUCGGCUAACUCCGUGCCAGCAGCCGCGGUAAUACGGAGGAUGCGAGCGUUAUCCGGAUUUAUUGGGUUUAAAGGGUGCGCAGGCGGAUUUUUAAGUCAGCGGUCAAAUCGUGGGGCUCAACCCCAUCCAGCCGUUGAAACUGGGG